rnacentral:rRNA from 1 species
AACGAACGCUGGCGGCAUGCCUAACACAUGCAAGUCGAACGAGACCUCCGGGUCUACUGGCGUACGGGUGCGUAACGCGUGGGAACCUGCCCUUAGGUGCGGAAGAACUCGCCGAAAGGGGUGCUAAUACCGGAUAAUGUCUUCGGACCAAAGGUUUAUCGCCUUUGGAUGGGCCCGAGUUGGAUUAGCUAGUUGGUAGGGUAAAAGCCUACCAAGGCGACGAUGGAUAGCUGGUCUGAGAGGAUGAGCAGACACACUGGCACGGAGACACGGCCCAGACUCCUACGGGAGGCAGCAGAGGGGAAUAUUGGAAAAUGGGCGAAAGCAUGAUCGAGCACUGCCGGGUGAGUGAUGAAGGCCUUAGCGUUGUAAAGCUCUUUUACCCGGGAUGAUCAUGACAGUACCGGGAGAAUAAGCACCGGCUAACUCCGUG